rnacentral:rRNA from 1 species
GAUGAACGCUGGCGGCGUGCCUAAUACAUGCAAGUCGAGCGAAGCGGGGACGGGUGAGUAACACGUGGAUAACCUCCUAUAAGACUGGGAUAACUUCGGGAAACCGGAGCUAAACCGGAUAAUUAUAGAUGGUUACGAGCUGCAUUAGCUAGUUGGUAAGGCACAGGCGUACAAAGGCAACGCUGAAUACACGCCCUGAGAGGGUGAUCGGCCAAACUGGAACUGAGACACGGUCCAGACUCCUACGGGAGGCAGCAGUAGGGAAUCUUGCGCUAUGGGCGAAAGCCUGACGGAGCAACGCCGCGUGAGUGAUGAAGGUCUUCGGAUCGUAAAACUCUGUUAUUAGGGAAGCGGUACCUAAUCAGAAAGCCACGGCUAACUCCGUGCCAGCAGCCGCGGUAAUAC